AAGUCGUAACAAGGUAACCGUAGGUGAACCUGCGGUUGGAUCAUCACAUAUUCAUAGAAUAAACAAUGUGCUCAUUUAUUUGUAUUGUAUUGAACAGUGAUGAUCAUGGUUGGACAAGUGUAACCAAAAACAACUUUUGACAAUGGAUCUCUUGAUUCCU
rnacentral:misc_RNA from 1 species